rnacentral:lncRNA from 1 species
UUAAAACUAAGUUUGAUUCUUGGGGUUUGUUUUCCUGAAUGCCACUCAGCCCCUUUAACUUUUACGCCCCAUCAACUCCUUCUCUUCUUAAUAUGAUGGUAUCAUUUGGUAAGUGGAAACACCCUUCAGAUGGGAUUCUGGGAAGUGAGUGAAGCAAGCAGGCAGUUAGGAGAAAGAAGGGGUCAGGGAAAACUGGGUGAGGUCUGAUUUUCCCUUUCUGCACUUGCUGAGGCCUGACUGGGUGUCCAGCACUGGGGGAAGAUGUAGGAAAAGGAGACUCCAUCGUCUUUCCCCGGGCGCAGGAAGUUUAUGUGUAUGAGGCAGAGUAACCCAAGGAUGCCAAGGAUCCAAAUGAGAGUGAAAGCGGAAUACCUGGUUAUCCGGAGGUCACUGUCUCCACACAGAGUGGUGUCCUUGAUGCUAGCUUGGGGCAAAGAAGCCAGGCCAGCUUGUGGUUGCAAUAGGAAUAGAAGAGACUUCCUUACUCCAAUCCCACCCUACCCCCUCAUCCUGCCUCAACCAGUCAUGCAGAGAGAUGCUGAAUGGCUGCCUGCUCUCAGGGGAAUGAUUUGUGGAGGUUUAAUUAAAAUAAUUUAAUCAAUCAAAUCCAACAAAUAUUCGCUGAGUACCUACCAUAGUUAAGAACUUACUACAUUGUAUACUUACUGAAAGUCUUUAUUUUUGCCUCUCCAUGUCGUUG